rnacentral:lncRNA from 1 species
GCAAAAGGCAGUGGUCCCCAACAACAAGGGAAGAUGCCAAAAGGCAACUGGCCCAUCAGAAAACAAGGCCAAGUUCCAGCUACUCCCUGGAGAAGGACAAAAUGGCUGCCUUAUUCUACACUGUGGUCAACCCACUGCUCAACCCUCUCAUCUACAGCGUGAGAAACAAAGAUGUCAAGGAAGCCUUCAAGAAGGCAACACAGACUAUACGACCCCAGGCAUGAAGGUCAUCAUUUCUUGCUGGAUGCUGUUGUUAUUUUUUCC